GUGCCAGCAGCCGCGGUAAGACAGAGGUGCCGAGCGUUAGGCGGAAUCACUGGGCUUAAAGCGCGUGUAGGCGGGUCGUUAAGUGCCUCGUGAAAUCCCACGGCUCAACCGUGGAACCGCGGGGCAUACUGGCGAUCUUGAGAGACCCAGGGGCGAGCGGAACAAGUGGUGGAGCGGUGAAAUGCGUAGAUAUCACUUGGAACGCCGACGGUGAAAACAGCUCGCUGGGGGUCAUCUGACGCUGAGACGCGAAAGCCAGGGGAGCGAACGGGAUUAGAUACCCGCGUAGUCC
rnacentral:rRNA from 1 species